UAUGAGUGUACUAACAAGACAAACUUUUGGAUAGAGAAAGAAGUGCCACCACAGAAUUUUGAGUACGAAGACUUAGAUAAUGCAUUUAUAAAGAAAAUGCAAUUUCCAAUGUUUAUGAUCGUGAAAUUGAUGAUAACGUUCAAGAUGACAAUGAAAAUACGGAUGAGAUUAAUACUCAAGAGAUGGGAGAUUUAGAUACAAUGGAUGUUAUUCAUCGUUUCGUGGAAGUGAUCGAGGAAUGAGACUUAUGGAUGAAAAUGAUAAAGGUAAAAUUUAACUAUUUAAUAUUUUAUGUUUAGUGCACUUUUUUGUUCCAAUUAUUACAUGACAUUUUUUGUAUUGGUGAUAGUUGAUGUGAAACUUUUAAAUUUUAGCUAUUUAAGAUUUCAUGUUAUUCACUUAU